rnacentral:lncRNA from 1 species
CGGGAAUGGCAGAGGAGCAGGGCCUAACGAGACAGGAGGAUCUAGGCGAUUGCGCAGGUGGGGCCCGGGCCUCCGCCUCAGGUGGCACCAGGGGGCCUGGAGCAGCCGCGGCUUCGCCCUGACUGUGAGGAGAGGCCUCACACGCAGGCCAAGUGUAUUGGCUUUGUGAAGAGGACUUCCCAGGGCCCAGACCGAGUUGGGGACUGUGGUGCGAACCAUGCUGCUGCCGGGUCUCUGAGUCCCUGGUGCAGGUGAUUGCGGGGUGGAACGUUGAAGCAGGUACUGAUCCUGCUCUGGUCCGUGGGGCUGUGGAAAAAUCAUUUUCAGUAUUUCUGGUCUCUUCUGGAAGACCUUCGCUAACAGCAAAUUCUCAUCUUGGACGAUGUCACGCGGCUGUCGUGGGACUGUGUCCCCAAAGCAGCAGUGAGGAAAAAACGGGCCCAGUAGUGGCGAGACCUCGGCCCUGGCCCUACCACUAGGAAGACACUCUACAAGUCAAGCUGGCACUGGUUAAAUUAUAAGAUACACUACAAUCUCGUUCCCUGACCUCUUGAAGGUUUUGUUGAUAAAGGAAAAACGUAAACAUACAAGUAAACACCUCUGUCCCAGGAUUGCUCUUAGAGUUUUCUCUGGAUCCAAAUCUGAGACAUUAUCUCAUUGUACAGAAUUUCCACAAUUCACAAUGGGCCAUCAUCAGUGAAGACCAUGGUGGAACCCAGAAACUAUAUGGGUGAGCAAAACGUUCUACAGAUGAACACUGCAUUCUUCCUGGAAUAAACCCUUCUCAUUUAAAGAUUUCCUGUGACAGGUGAUAACAAUCUUCUCCAAUUACUUGUAAAAGUCCUCUUUCUUCAGACUGAAAUAUAGCCUAGAAAUCUUGAAGACAUCUAGAGAACAAUCACGUUGAUGAAUAUGUGCAUACUUAAUAAUGCUAUAAGAAAAGAUAAAGAAUAAGUGGGGUCUUAAGUAAUUAUACAUUGGUCAAAGGAAGAAAGUUGAAUAUCUCAGGCAAUUGGCACAAGACAAGGAGGUCCCAGGAAAUUUCAAGACACUAAGAACGCGAGUUUGAAAAUGUCAUGGAUUAGGAGAGUGGAAGAAAAUAAGGUUGCAUGCAUGGGGAUUCUUGGAAAUCUUUAAAAUGGGGCAAUGCAGGAAAGACUCAUCCCAGGGACCCCCAAGGCUCUGAUUAAGGAAAGUGACCCGGUAUCGUUGAAUUUAGAAAGGUUGGUCCAGUGUUAUAGCAUAAGGCAGGGAAAAGGCAGAGAUGGGGAAUCCAGACCAAAAGUUGGUGUAAUUAUCCAGUUAUGAAGUGAGAAAGACCUCAAAAGCUUAUUUUUUUCAGUCAGACAGAUAUAUUUUGCUGUUGACUUGUAUGGCUUGGCUUAAUCAGUCACUUGCCUAAUUUCAAUAGAC